UUCAUUAACCGUUGCAAAGUCAGAAUUUAGGUACAAAAGAUAAUAAAUUUGCUGUCAAUCUUUUUUAGUCAGUUUUUACAGAAGUAGAAUAAUUCAAUAGAAAAACUUUAUAAACAUGUGUUGGAUGGGCUGGGCAUUUGUUUUAUCUCUAUUUUCAUACCUCGUCCUAACGUCACCACAGAGAAAUUGGUGAAAAGACAUGGGCGGCAAUUUUUUUUUAAUGGAGAAGAUCUUCAGACCUGUGUUUUGAAGAAAUUAAUAAAGAUUUUUUUUUUAAUUUUUUUAGAGGGGUUUUUUCACGGACUGAUCAACCCCAUCGUACUUUAUACGUACAAUAUAAACACACAUAAAAUAAACAUACAUGAUUAGACAUCCUUGCUAAAUUAUAUAAUGUUAUUGCUGUUUCAGUUUUAGGAUUCACUAAAAUAAUUUGUACGGGCCCAACAACAUCUAAAAUUUUUGAGUAAUCAGUGAGUCCAUAUCAUUGUUUGGUUUUGAUAUAAUCCAUCGACAAAUGUUCUAAAUAUCAAAUAGGCAAUUUACACAUCAAAAAGGCAAACUUUGCUGACGCAUAGUGCCCAGAACGAAGUCUUAGGGCUAGCUUAACAUAGCUUAGCAUUGUUAAACCAUACAAGCAGACUCACUAUGAAAAUUAAGAACGUUUAAAAAUGUAGUCUAAUCACCAUAUGUUUGUAAAAAUAUAAAAAAACUGAAAUAAAUCAUAAAUCCUUUCAAUUUC